rnacentral:lncRNA from 10 species
CUCCCUCCCCCCCUCCUCUCGCUUCCAUCUCCGCCGUCUCCUCGGUCUCCCUUCCCAUCCCGGCCCCUCCUCCGCCAGCCGCGUCCUCCCGGGCUUGGUGAGGAACUGUUCCUGGAGGAGCCGCGGGACGCCAAAACCAGCCAAUGGGAAGCGGCGAUUCGCGGAGAUUGGCACUGAUGAUGGGAAGGAAUAUUGAUCUCAGCGUUACUUUGACCAUUAAUGAAUUAUGAUGGCAAUAAGCAAAGAUUCGCACCUCUAGCCUCCGGGGAGCUUAAUCUUCUGCUACAACAUUUGCAUUUGCAGUGUUUAAGGAGGAUCCAGGAAUACUUUAAGUGACGCCAGCGUUAGUGUUGCCUCCUCAGAAGACUGCUUUCAGGGGAACAGUAUACAUCUGCCCUGUAAAUUCUGGAUGGUAAAUAUGACAAAAACUCUCUCCUUGACCCAGCUCUAGUGAGACUGCUCUAAGCCCUCUUCUCAACAUGGCUCAACCUUGGGCUUCAGUGUACAUUUUGUUGGGCCUGCAUUGCUCAGUUUUAGCAAGAGUCCAGUUAAGUGAAAGAGAAUCUCACAGCUUUGAUAUCAGAUUCUUCCAUAUCUAAACAAAUUCCUCAUCCCCUACCUUCAAUAUCUGAUCACUCUGCCCUGUUUGCACCAAGAAUCUACCCUCACCCUUGAUGUCUCCUCUUAAUAAUUUUCCAUCCACCAAUCUCUCCCCACUCUUCAAACCUGCUCCUUGGCUAUAAGUCCCUACCCCUUCUUGUCUUAUUUGCAAUAGAGCUCAGUUCUACACUGGGGUCUCUUUUUCCUGAUUGCAAUAGUUCCUGAAUAAAAUCUGUUUUUACCACUUUAUCCACUGUCUAGCUCUGGUUUUCUUUACCAGAAGUCACAGUUAACACAUGCGAAAACCCAUUUGCAAAACAAAUCCACAGGACUCGGUCCAUGUGCUGUGAAGUCUUUGAUUAAGGGCUUAAAAACAAUGAAAAGUAAUAAACGGAUCUGAAUACAAUUCAGGCAAUAAAACACUUUCAUUGGUUUUCAUACUCAGCAAAAGUAUUUUUACUGAUUAAAAGAUAAAUAAUCCUCACUCUACUAACUCAAUG